rnacentral:rRNA from 1 species
GACGAACGCUGGCGGCGUGCCUAACACAUGCAAGUCGAACGGAGCAAUUACUUCGGUUUUUGCUUAGUGGCGAACGGGUGAGUAACGCGUGAGAAACCUGCCUUUCAGUGGGGGACAACGGUUGGAAACGACUGCUAAUACCGCAUAAUGUCAUUUAAGGGCAUCCUUGAAUGACCAAAGCUUUAUGUGCUGAAAGAUGGUCUCGCGUCUGAUUAGCUAGUUGGUGAGGUAACGGCUCACCAAGGCGACGAUCAGUAGCCGGUCUGAGAGGAUGAACGGCCACAUUGGGACUGAGAUACGGCCCAGCCUCCUACGGGAGGGAGCAGUGGGGAAUAUUGGGCAAUGGGCGAAAGCCUGACCCAGCAACGCCGCGUGAAGGAAGAAGGCCUUCGGGUUGUAAACUUCUUUUACCAGGGACGAAGAAAGUGACGGUACCUGGAGAAAAAGCAACGGCUAACUACGUGCCAGCAGCCGCGGUAACAC